AGGGCUGGCGCCCGAGGGCCCUCGGACGCGUCGCCCACCUGCCCCGCCCCGCCCCGCCAGCGCCCCUCCCGCGCGGGUCCCGGCUCCGCGAGACUGCGGGCGGCACGCGGGCGCUGGGGACGCUGCGCCGAGCGCAGGCAGAAGUCUUAGAAGUCAUCUUGGAUAUUUCCCUCUUCCUUGUUCACUAUUUCCAGAAGUGAGCAGACAGACCUGGGUUCACUCCUCAACUCUGCCACAAGCCAGCUGUGGACUAACUUAAUGAAGAGCCAAAUUCAAGCUGCUAGAAAGCUGGUCCAAAUAUCAGACAGGUUACAGCACUAGGAGCGGUACUGUAGAAUUGGCUCCUCUUGGCUGUGAUGGUUCCAUAGGCUUUCCUUGUUUUUGAUGACCCGGACAGUUUUGAGGAGUGCUGCCAGGCAGAGUCCCUGUGCUCCUUCUUGCUGUCGUCAGGUAGCACCACACCAACCGUCUUCUGCCAGAGGCAGCAGGGGCCGGAAGGAAGCCUGAGUGUGGAUGCAGGGGGCCUGCCUCACUGCCCUCCCUGCCUCCCAGCAGCGGUGUGGUUUCGCGCCUUGAGCUUCAGCUCCCUCGGGUGUACAGUGGACACACUGCUAUCCUGGCGUCGCAGGAUCGCCGUGAGCAUCACGUGAGAAUAACAGCGAGGUCCAUGUUUGCUUCUGAGCAAAGCCGAAGGCCCCUGCCACUCCACAAGCAGUUACUACAGGUGGGCGACAAAUGUGGAUCUAAGAGUCGCAGAAGCCAAAGAAAAGAGAAAAAAAAUUUAAAAAACAACAGAGAAAAAAGAAUCCGGCAGAAGGAGUACAUUGGUGAGUUAGAAGAAGACCUGCCUUUCUAAAGCAGAGCCCAGAGGGAGGAAAUAUCACACUUGGAGGGAAAACAGAGAGAAGAAAAAAAAAAAACUGAAAUUAAAGCCAAACAUUCUUUCCAAGGCACA